GCGGGUAUCGUAUAAUGGCUAUUACCUCAGCCUUCCAGGCUGAUGAUGUGAGUUCGAUUCCUGCUAUCCGCCCUA
rnacentral:tRNA from 1 species